UCGACUCUUGACUCCGAAUAUUCUAUUUUAACCAAACCGGCGGCUCUUCAGUAGUCGCCAGUGUCUCUGCCUCCGUCAAAAGUACCAGUUGCACUCCUUCUUCGGUGAUCCGGACGAAUGAGAUCUAGUUUGGGUCCGUGUCAGCCCAAUUUACAUGACCAAUGUCUUCUAUAUUCACGUCUACCAUCUGCAACCUCCCUUCGGCUGCUAUUUCUUCAACAUGUUCCCCAACCCACUGAAAUAACUUUUCGUGCUAGGUCAAAGAUACAUGU
rnacentral:lncRNA from 1 species